rnacentral:rRNA from 1 species
UACAGAGGCCUCGAGCGUUAGGCGGAAUCACUGGGCUUAAAGCGUGUGUAGGCGGGCGAUCAAGUACCUUGUGAAAUCCCACGGCUCAACCGUGGAACCGCUGGGUAUACUGGUUGUCUUGAGCCGGCUAGGGGCGAGCGGAACAGACGGUGGAGCGGUGAAAUGCGUAGAUAUCGUCUGGAACGCCGAAGGUGAAAACAGCUCGCUGGGGCCGCGCUGACGCUGAGACACGAAAGCCAGGGGAGCAAACGGG